UACGGAGGGUGCAAGCGUUAUCCGGAAUCACUGGGCGUAAAGGGCGCGUAGGUGGUCUGUUAAGUCUGGCGUUAAAGCCUGGGGCUCAACCCCAGAUCAGCGUUGGAUACUGGCAGGCUAGACGGUUGGAGAGGCGAGUAGAAUUACCAGUGUAGCGGUGGAAUGCGUAGAUACUGGUAGGAAUACCCAUUGCGAAGGCAGCUCGCUGGACAACACGUGACACUGAGGCGCGAAAGUGUGGGGAGCAAACCGG
rnacentral:misc_RNA from 1 species